rnacentral:rRNA from 1 species
CCUACGGGUGGCAGCAGUGAGGAAUAUUGGUCAAUGGGCGCGAGCCUGAACCAGCCAAGUCGCGUGAGGGAUGACUGCCCUACGGGUUGUAACCUUCUUUUAUAAAGGAAUAAGGUGCGGCACGUGUGCCUUUUUGUAUGUAUUUUAUGAAUAAGGAUCGGCUAACUCCGUGCCAGCAGCCGCGGUAAUACGGAGGAUCCGAGCGUUAUCCGGAUUUAUUGGGUUUAAAGGGAGCGUAGAUGGGUUGUUAAGUCAGUUGUGAAAGUGUGCGGCUCAACCGUAAAAUUGCAAUUGAUACUGGCAGACUGGAGUAUAGUUGAGGUAGGCGGAAUGCGUGGUGUAGCGGUGAAAUGCGUAGAUAUCACGAAGAACCCCGAUUGCGAAGGCAGCCUACUAAACUGUAACUGACACUGAUGCUCGAAAGCGUGGGUAUCAAACAGGAUUAGAUACCCCUGUAGUC